rnacentral:sRNA from 1 species
AAAAAUAAAAUAAAAA